GUCGAACGAGAAAGCCCUUCGGGGUUAGUAAAGUGGCGAACGGGUGAGUAACACGUGGGCAAUCUGCCCUUCGUUGGGGGACAACCGGGGGAAACUCCGGCUAAUACCCCGUAAGCUUGUCGGGUCACAUGGCCUGACAAGGAGAGGUAGCUUCGGCCAUCCGGCGAAGGAGGAGCCCGCGGUACAUUAGCUAGUUGGUGAGGUAACGGCCCACCAAGGCUACGAUGUAUAGCUGGUCUGAGAGGAUGAUCAGCCACACUGGGACUGAGACACGGCCCAGACUCCUACGGGAGGCAGCAGUCGGGAAUCUUGCACAAUGGGCGAAAGCCUGAUGCAGCAACACCGUGUGAGCGAUGAAGGCCUUAGGGUCGUAAAGCUCUGUUUGCGAGGACGAAGGGUGAAGGGUUAAUAGCCCUUAGCCUGACGGUACUCGUACAGAAAGCCCCGGCUAACUACGUGCCAGCAGCCGCGGUAAUACGUAGGGGGCGAGCGUUGUCCGGAAUUAUUGGGCGUAAAGAGCGUGUAGGCGGCUUGGUAAGUCUGCUGUGAAACCUUGGGGCUCAACCCCAAGCGUGCAGUGGAUACUGUCAAGCUAGAGGAUGGUAGAGGCCAGUGGAAUUCCCGGUGUAGCGGUGAAAUGCGCAGAUAUCGGGAGGAACACCAGUAGCGAAGGCGGCUGGCUGGGCCAUUCCUGACGCUGAGACGCGAAAGCUAGGGGAGCGAACAGGAUUAGAUACCCUGGUAGUCCUAGCCGUAAACGAUGAACACUAGGUGUGGGGGGAGUCGAAUCCCUCCGUGCCGAAGCCAACGCGUUAAGUGUUCCGCCUGGGGAGUACGGCCGCAAGGCUAAAACUCAAAAGAAUUGACGGGGGCCCGCACAAGCGGCGGAGCAUGUGGUUUAAUUCGAUGCAACGCGAAGAACCUUACCUGGGCUUGACAUGCAGCUGCAAGCGCACGGAAACGUGUGACCUUCGAGGGUGCUGCACAGUGCUGCAUGGCUGUCGUCAGCUCGUGUCGUGAGAUGUGGGUAAGUCCCGAACGAGCGCACCUUGUCGGGGGUGCAGCUUAAGUGGGACUCCAGCGAAACUGCGUAACAACGGAGAGUGGGACCACGUCAGUCUUCAUGCCCUUA
rnacentral:rRNA from 1 species